UACGUAGGGGGCAAGCGUUGUCCGGAUUUAUUGGGCGUAAAGAGCUCGUAGGUGGUUCGGUAAGUCGGAUGUGAAAUCUCCAGGCUCAACCUGGAGGGGUCAUUCGAUACUGCCGUGACUAGAGGUCGGUAGGGGAGUGUGGAAUUCCUGGUGGAGCGGUGAAAUGCGCAGAUAUCAGGAGGAACACCCGUAGCGAAGGCGGCUCUCUGGGACGGUACUGACGCUGAGACGCGAAAGCGUGGGGAGCGAACAGG
rnacentral:rRNA from 1 species